GAUGAACGCUGACAGAAUGCUUAACACAUGCAAGUCGAUGGGGAAGUGGUGCUUGCACCCUGGCAACCAUGGCGGACGGGUGAGUAACGCGUAAGGGACUUACCUGCAGGACUGGGAUAACAGGGGGAAACUCCUGACAAGACCGGAUAAUGUCAUGGAGCUGCAUGGCUUUAUGAUGAAAGGAGACGCCUGCGGAGAGCCUUGCGUCCUAUUAGCUAGUUGGUGAGGUAAUGGCGCACCAAGGCGAAGAUAGGUAGCCGGCCUGAGAGGGUGGACGGCCACAAGGGGACUGAGAUACGGCCCUUACUCCUACGGGAGGCAGCAGUGGGGAAUAUUGGACAAUGGGGGCAACCCUGAUCCAGCAAUUCUGUGUGCACGAAGAAGGUUUUCGGAUUGUAAAGUGCUUUCAGCAGGGAAGAAGUAAGUGACGGUACCUGCAGAAGAAGCGACGGCUAAAUACGUG
rnacentral:rRNA from 1 species